GAACGCGGAGGCCACAUUAAUGAAACUAAGAGGAUCUUUUUUUCCAUUGAGAACAAAAUGACGAUCAAGCCCCGCCCGUGGCUCGCGGAGGCGCUCGCGGCGCGAAUGCUGUGACAUCCUGAGGAGCGCAGAUAUCUACUUUAAAGCACGGACAAAAUGACAAGUGAAGUGAAAUGAGCCUUGCCCCGGACACUUGCACCUGCCCAAAAUCAGAGCAGUGGGGUAUAAGAGGAGCCGCACCAGCACUCUGCAGUUGCGGAAUCUCGUUGAGAACACCGUCCCUCCUGUGCUCUCGAAUCAUCCCACAGAACCUACCCAUCCUUCUAUGUCCCUUGCCCUCCAAGAUCCCUCGCUUAUCUCCCCAUCCCUGUUCUUGUCUUCCACGGCUACUGACCCCUGCAUCGUCAAGUCAACAAUGUCACCUCUUCCAGAUCUCUGUUUGUACAUUGAUUGACCCACACCCGUCCCCGACCACGAAUCUUGCUUUUUCUUUUGGAUUUGGGAAAAUAAAUGAUCCCACGAUUGGG